AGGCUUAACACAUGCAAGUCGAGGGGUAACAGGGAUUGCUUGCAAUCCGCUGACGACCGGCGAACGGGUGCGUAACGCGUAUGCAACCUACCUUUUACAGGGGAAUAGCCCAAAGAAAUUUGGAAUAAUACCCCAUACGAUCUACAAUUGGCAUCAAUUGAAGAGGAAAACUCCGGUGGUAAAAGAUGGGCAUGCGUCCUAUUAGUUAGUUGGUAAGGUAAAGGCUUACCAAGACUUCGAUAGGUAGGGGUCCUGAGAGGGAGAUCCCCCACACUGGUACUGAGACACGGACCAGACUCCUACGGGAGGCAGCAGUGAGGAAUAUUGGACAAUGGAGGCAACUCUGAUCCAGCCAUGCCGCGUGCAGGAAGACUGCCCUAUGGGUUGUAAACUGCUUUUAUACAGGAAGAACUGCAUCUACGUGUAGAUGCUUGACGGUACUGUACGAAUAAGGAUCGGCUAACUCCGUGCCAGCAGCCGCGGUAAUACGGAGGAUCCAAGCGUUAUCCGGAAUUAUUGGGUUUAAAGGGUCCGUAGGCGGUUUUUUAAGUCAGAGGUGAAAUCCUGCAGCUCAACUGUAGCAUUGCCUUUGAUACUGAAAGACUUGAGUUAUUGUGAAGUAGUUAGAAUGUGUAGUGUAGCGGUGAAAUGCAUAGAUAUUACACAGAAUACCGAUUGCGAAAGCAGAUUACUAACAAUAUACUGACGCUCAUGGACGAAAGCGUGGGUAGCGAACAGGAUUAGAUACCCUGGUAGUCCACGCCGUAAACGAUGGAUACUAGCUGUUCGGUCAACACUGGUUGAUUGAGUGGUUAAGCGAAAGUGAUAAGUAUCCCACCUGGGG
rnacentral:rRNA from 1 species